rfam:Thermoanaerobacter pseudethanolicus ATCC 33223, complete genome.
GGGGGUGUACUGGUUUCGACGGGGGCAGUCGAGGUAAAAGUAGCGAGCCGAGUUGUCCGCCAGCUCGUAAAAACGGUGGAGUAAAAAUAAACGCAGACAGAGAAUUAGCUUACGCUGCCUAAUUUAAGGUAGCCGUCCAACCUGAAAUGCCCACGUUUCAGGAUUGGGCGUCAAAAGAGUGGGGAACUGGUUUUGCUCAGGCUUCGGGGCAAAACCGGAACUUAUGAAGCUACCGAGGCGGUUAUCCUGUCGCUGGGAGAACCGCUGAGGGAAAAUUAAAACAGCGACUGCGCUCGGAGAAGCUUUUACUGUGACGCCUUCGGACCGGGGUUCGACUCCCCGCACCUCCACCA